GACGAACCGUGCGAACGUUAUUCGGAAUCACUGGCUUAAAGCGCGUGUAGGCGGGGCGGCACGUCUGUCGCUGAAAUCCCCCGGCUUAACCGGGGAACUGGCGGAGAUACGACCGUCCUGGAGGGGCGUAGGGGGACCUGGAACUUCCGGUGGAGCGGUGAAAUGCGUUGAGAUCGGAAGGAACGCCCGUGGCGAAAGCGAGGUCCUGGACGCCUACUGACGCUGAGACGCGAAAGCCAGGGGAGCGAACGGG
rnacentral:rRNA from 1 species